GACCUGACUGCUAUCGGAUUGAUACUAAGCCAUGCGAGUCAUUGUAGCAAUACAAGGCAUACGGCUCAGUAACGCGUAGUCAACCUAACCUAUGGACGGGAAUAACCUCGGGAAACUGAGAAUAAUGCCCGAUAGAACAUUAUACCUGGAAUGGUUUAUGUUCCAAAUGAUUUAUCGCCGUAGGAUGGGACUGCGGCCUAUCAGUUUGUUGGUGAGGUAAUGGCCCACCAAGACUAUUACAGGUACGGGCUCUGAGAGGAGUAGCCCGGAGAUGGGUACUGAGACACGAAUCCAGACCCUACGGGGUGCAGCAGGCGCGAAAACUUGGCAAUGCGAGAAAUCGUGACCAGGGAACUCCAAGUGCAUCGGGUAAGACCGGUGCUUUUCUUGACUCUAAAUAGGUCUUGGAAUAAGGGGUGGGUAAGGACGGUGCCAGCCGCCGCGGUAAUACCGGCGCCUCAAGUGGUAGUCGCUUUUAUUGGGCCUAAAACGUCCGUAGCCGGUCUGAUACAUUCGUGGGUAAAUCAACCAGCUUAACUGGUUGAAUUCUGCGAGGACGGUCAGACUUGGGACCGGGAGAGGUGUGGGGUACGCUCAGGGUAGGGGUAAAAUCCUGUCAUCCUGAGCGGACCACCUGUUGCGAAGGCGCCACACUAGAACGGAUCCGACGGUCAGGGACGAAGCCUAGGGGCACGAACCGGAUUAGAUACCCGGGUAGUCCUAGGUGUAAACGCUGUGGACUUGAUGUUGGGGGUGCUCCGAGCACUCUCAGUGUCGAAGCGAAGGUGAUAAGUCCACUGCCUGGGAAGUACGGUCGCAAGGCUGAAACUUAAAGGAAUUGGCGGGGGAGCACCGCAACCUGAGGAUUGUGCGGUUUAAUUGGAUUCAACGCCGGAAAACUCACCAUAGCCGACGGACAAAUGAAGGUCAGUGUAAUGAACUUACCGGAUUGUUCGAGAGGUAGUGCAUGGCCGCCGUCAGUUCGUACCGCAAGGCGUUCUGUUAAGUCAGAUAACGAACGAGACCCUCAUCUCUAUUUGCUAACUGGAUCUCCGGAUUCAGUGCACUAUAGGGAGACCGCUGGCGCUAAGUCAGAGGAAGGGGAGGGCAACGGUAGGUCAGUAUGCUCCGAAUGCUAUGGGCUACACGCGCAAUACAAAGGACAGGACAAUGGGCUGCUGCUCCGAAAGGAAUGAUAGCUAUCCCGAAACCUGUUCGUAGUUCGGAUUGAGGGCUGUAACUCGCCCUCAUGAAGCUGGAUUAGGUAGUAAUCGCGUCUCAAAAAGGCGCGGUGAAUAUGCCCCUGCUCC
rnacentral:rRNA from 1 species